GCCAUGCCGCGUGUGUGAAGAAGGCCUUCGGGUUGUAAAGCACUUUCAGUUGUGAGGAAAGUUUAGUAGUUAAUACCUGCUAGAUGUGACGUUAGCAACAGAAGAAGCACCGGCUAACUCCGUGCCAGCAGCCGCGGUAAUACGGAGGGUGCGAGCGUUAAUCGGAAUUACUGGGCGUAAAGCGCACGCAGGCGGUCUGUUAAGCUAGAUGUGAAAGCCCCGCGCUCAACGUGGGAGGGUCAUUUAGAACUGGCAGACUAGAGUCUUGGAGAGGGGAGUGGAAUUCCAGGUGUAGCGGUGAAAUGCGUAGAGAUCUGGAGGAACAUCAAUGGCGAAGGCAACUCCCUGGCCAAAGACUGACGCUCAUGUGCGAAAGUGUGGGUAGCGAACAGGAUUAGAUACCCUGGUAGUCCACACCGUAAACGCUGUCUACUAGCUGUUUGUGGAUUUAAUCCGUGAGUAGCGAAGCUAACGCGAUAAGUAGACCGCCUGGGGAGGUUACGGCCGCAAGGUUA
rnacentral:rRNA from 1 species